rnacentral:rRNA from 1 species
CGCUAAUACCGGAUGUGCCGAGAGGUGAAAGAUUUAUUGCCUGGAGAUGAGCUCGCGUCUGAUUAGCUAGUUGGUGGUGUAAGGGACUACCAAGGCGUCGAUCAGUAGCUGGUCUGAGAGGAUGAUCAGCCACACUGGGACUGAGACACGGCCCAGACUCCUACGGGAGGCAGCAGUGGGGAAUUUUCCGCAAUGGGCGAAAGCCUGACGGAGCAAUACCGCGUGAGGGAGGAAGGCUCUUGGGUCGUAAACCUCUUUUCUCAAGGAAGAAGAAAGUGACGGUACUUGAGGAAUAAGCAUCGGCUAACUCCGUGCCAGCAGCCGCGGUAAUACGGAGGAUGCAAGCGUUAUCCGGAAUGAUUGGGCGUAAAGGGUCUGCAGGUGGAACUGAAAGUCUGCUGUUAAAGAGUUUGGCUUAACCAAAUAAAAGCGGUGGAAACUACAGAACUAGAGUGCGGUAGGGGCAAAAGGAAUUCCUGGUGUAGCGGUGAAAUGCGUAGAUAUCAGGAAGAACACCGGUGGCGAAAGCGUUUUGCUAGACCGUAACUGACACUGAGGGACGAAAGCUAGGGGAGCGAAUGGUAUUAGAUACUU